AAAUUUUGUGGCACCGCACAACUUGUGCCUUUUCCAUUUCUCUUACUCUCUUAACAAUGGACAUGAUUACAUGGGAUUAAGUAGCCGGACUAACCCAGCCACAACGCACCCACUAACUACUACCUUGCAUGCACUCCACAUAAUUCUGCAUGCAACACACACGGCCACGCCACUAACGGCUUGACCCACUAAUCACUCCAGCACACACGCGUACAGGCUUGAGUCACCUCCAAAUUUGCAACAGAUAUGAGCUUACCCACGACACACUUGACGCACGUCACAACUGAUUGCGUCCGCUUCUUGCUCCACCGUUGAUCUGCCGCCGGACUUGGACGUUGUGACUCUAUGGAGCUGUAGCCAUUUUGCUAACCAACACAUCCAUGCAGCAGACUACCUACUCAUCACUAGCUUGUACACACACGCCAUCUCAUCUCUACGUGAGUGUAUGGCCACAGCCUAAUGAUUGAGCGUGUCUACGUGCAAGACACUAAGUAAAUGUAAUGAAAAACCAAAAACAACAAGGUUAACUCUAACAAUCACCCCUUUAACCUUGUUGUCACUUAUUCCUCUUUUGAAACCCAUGGUCGUCGAUGUCAUCCGUGUAACACGUAGAUGGCCGCCAAUGCCAUCUUGUCACGCCGAUUGCCGCCGUCGCCAUUGGCUUCGAUAAGAGGCGCACCUCCUAUGCCUUCACCAUGAGUGCGCCGCCGUGGCACCCUUGCUGCCGCAUGUUCGCCACCGGUGCCGCAACUCUCCGGUGACUCGCCUCCAUGCCCGUUGCCGGUGCCGCAACUCGCCGGUGACUCGCCUCCAUGUUGUCGACGAUGACGCACCUUGUCGACGACUCGGACGUGGAACUCCUUGUGCUGAUGGCCUCCGCUCCAUGGCCAUCACCUCCAUGCCGCCGGUGCCUCAACUUACCGGACAACAUACCUUUCUCAAUCGCUCGUGACGCAGCUAGAUGAUGACGGAGACAGAGACCGGCCACUAGCAGCAUCGCGCCGCCUGCGACCUCCACCUUGCGCCGACGAACUCCACCUCACAUGGAGUCCGCCGCGCCGCCACCGCGGCCGCGGAUCGACAAGGCUCUGAUACCAAUUGUUGGCGCCGCCACUCGCAGCGCCGCUUCUUCUCUACCUUGCAUCUCUCUCAGCUCAAGGAUUCUCUCAAGAAAACAUGCAUGUGCUAGAGGUAGAAGAAGAGGACACGAGAAAUUUUGUGGCACCGCACAACUUGUGCCUUUUCCAUUUCUCUUACUCUCUUAACAAUGGACAUGAUUACAUGGGAUUAAGUAGCCGGACUAACCCAGCCACAACGCACCCACUAACCACUACCUUGCAUGCACUCCACAUAAUUCUGCAUGCAACACACACGGCCACGCCACUAACGGCUUGACCCACUAAUCACUCCAGCACACACGCGUACAGGCUUGAGUCACCUCCAAAUUUGCAACAGAUAUGAGCUUACCCACGACACACUUGACGCACGUCACAACUGAUUCCGUCCGCUUCUUGCUCCACCGUUGAUCUGCCGCCGGACUUGGACAUUGUGACUCUAUGGAGCUGUAGCCAUUUUGCUAACCAACACAUCCAUGCAGCAGACUACCUACUCAUCACUAGCUUGUACACACACGCCAUCUCAUCUCUACGUGAGUGUAUGGCCGCAGCCUAAUGAUUGAGCGUGUCUACGUGCAAGACACUAAGUAAAUGUAAUGAAAAACCAAAAACAACAAGGUUAACUCUAACAAUCACCCCUUUAACCUUGUUGUCACUUAUUCCUCUCUUGAAACCCAUGAUCGUCGAUGUCGUCCGUGUAACACGUUGGUGGCCGCCAAUGCCAUCUUGUCACGCCGAUUGCCGCCGUCGCCAUUGGCUUCGAUAAGAGGCGCACCUCCUAUGCCUUCACCAUGAGUGCGCCGCCGUGGCAGCCUUGCUGUCGCAUGUUCGCCACCGGUGCCGCAACUCUCCGGUGACUCGCCUCCAUGCCCGUUGCCGGUGCCGCAACUCGCCGGUGACUCGCCUCCAUGUUGUCGACGAUGACGCACCUUGUCGACGACUCGGACGUGGAACUCCUUGUGCUGAUGGCCUCCGCUUCAUGGCCAUCACCUCCAUGCCGCCGGUGCCUCAACUUACCGGACAAUAUACCUUUCUCAAUCGCUUGUGACGCAGCUAGAUGAUGACGGAGACAGAGACCGGCCACUAGCAGCAUCGCGCCGCCUGCGACCUCCACCUUGCGCCGACGAACUCCACCUCACAUGGAGUCCGCCGCGCCGCCACCGCCGCCGCGGAUCGACAAGGCUCUGAUACCAAUUGUUGGCGCCGCCACUCGCAGCGCCGCUUCUUCUCUACCUUGCAUCUCUCUCAGCUCAAAGAUUCUCUCAAGAAAACAUGCAUGUGCUAGAGGUAGAAGAAGAGGACACAAGAAAUUUUGUGGCACCGCACAACUUGUGCCUUUUCCAUUUCUCUUACUCUCUUAACAAUGGACAUGAUUACAUGGGAUUAAGUAGCCGGACUAACCCAGCCACAACGCACCCACUAACCACUACCUUGCAUGCACUCCACAUAAUUCUGCAUGCAACACACAUGGCCACGCCACUAACGGCUUGACCCACUAAUCACUCCAGCACACACGCGUGCAGGCUUGAGUCACCUCCAAAUUUGCAACAGAUGUGAGCUUACCCACGACACACUUGACGCACGUCACAACUGAUUGCGUCCGCUUCUUGCUCCAUCGUUGAUCUGCCGCCGGACUUGGACGUUGUGACUCUAUGAAGCUGUAGCCAUUUUGCUAACCAACACAUCCAUGCAGCAGACUACCUACUCAUCACUAGCUUGUACACACACGCCAUCUCAUCUCUACGUGAGUGUAUGGCCACAGCCUAAUGAUUGAGCGUGUCUACGUGCAAGACACUAAGUAAAUGUAAUGAAAAACCAAAAAC
rnacentral:lncRNA from 1 species